GUAGGGAAUCUUCCACAAUGGACGAAAGUCUGAUGGAGCAACGCCGCGUGAGUGAAGAAGGUCUUCGGAUCGUAAAACUCUGUUGUUAGAGAAGAACGUGCGUGAUAGUAACUGAUCAUGUAAUGGCGGUAUCUAACCAGAAAGCCACGGCUAACUACGUGCCAGCAGCCGCGGUAAUACGUAGGUGGCAAGCGUUGUCCGGAUUUAUUGGGCGUAAAGGGAACGCAGGCGGUUUUUUAAGUCUGAUGUGAAAGCCUUCGGCUUAACCGAAGAAUAGCAUUGGAAACUGGAAGACUUGAGUGCAGAAGAGGAGAGUGGAAUUCCAUGUGUAGCGGUGAAAUGCGUAGAUAUAUGGAGGAACACCAGUGGCGAAAGCGGCUCUCUGGUCUGUAACUGACGCUGAGGUUCGAAAGCGUGGGUAGCAAACAGGAUUAGAAACCCUUGUAGUCC
rnacentral:rRNA from 1 species